GAUGAACGCUGGCGGCGUGCCUAAUACAUGCAAGUCGAGCGAACAGAUAAGGAGCUUGCUCCUUUGACGUUAGCGGCGGACGGGUGAGUAACACGUGUAUAACCUACCUAUAAGACUGGGAUAACUUCGGGAAACCGGAGCUAAUACCGGAUAACAUAUUGAACCGCAUGGUUCAAUAGUGAAAGGCGGCUUUGCUGUCACUUCUAGAUGGAUCCGCGCCGUAUUAGCUAGUUGGUAAGGUAACGGCUUACCAAGGCAACGAUACGUAGCCGACCUGAGAGGGUGAUAGGCCACACUGGAACUGAGACACGGUCCAGACUCCUAAGGGAGGCAGCAGUAGGGAAUCUUACGCAAUGGGCGAAAGCAUGACGGAGCAACGCCGAGUGAGUGAUGAAGGUCUUCGGAUCGUAAAACUCUGUUAUCAGGGAAGAACAAAUGUGGAAGUAACUGUGCACAGCGUGACGGUACCUGAUCAGAAAGCAACGGCUAACUACGUG
rnacentral:rRNA from 1 species